rnacentral:rRNA from 1 species
UACGUAGGGGCUAGCGUUAUCCGGAUUUACUGGGCGUAAAGGGUGCGUAGGCGGUCUUUCAAGUCAGGAGUGAAAGGAUACGGCUCAACCGUAGUAAGCUCUUGAAACUGUAGGACUUGAGUGCAGGAGAGGAGAGUGGAAUUCCUAGUGUAGCGGUGAAAUGCGUAGAUAUUAGGAGGAACACCAGUUGCGAAGGCGGCUCUCUGGACUGUAACUGACGCUGAGGCACGAAAGCGUGGGGAGCAAACAGGAUUAGAUACCCUGGUAGU